GACGAACGCUGGCGGCGUGCUUAACACAUGCAAGUCGAACGGAAAGGCCCUGCUUGCAGGGUACUCGAGUGGCGAACGGGUGAGUAACACGUGGGUGAUCUGCCCUGCACUUCGGGAUAAGCCUGGGAAACUGGGUCUAAUACCGGAUAGGAGCCAUUUUUAGUGUGAUGGUUGGAAAGUUUUUUCGGUGUAGGAUGAGCUCGCGGUCUAUCAGCUUGUUGGUGGGGUAAUGGCCUACCAAGGCGGCGACGGGUAGCCGGCCUGAGAGGGUGGACGGCCACAUUGGGACUGAGAUACGGCCCAGACUCCUACGGGAGGCAGCAGUGGGGAAUAUUGCACAAUGGGCGCAAGCCUGAUGCAGCGACGCCGCGUGGGGGAUGACGGCCUUCGGGUUGUAAACUCCUUUCGCUAGGGACGAAGCUUUUGUGACGGUACCUAGAUAAGAAGCACCGGCUAACUACGUG
rnacentral:rRNA from 1 species